rnacentral:lncRNA from 1 species
CAGCCUCCUGCUUCCCGAGGGCAUGUACAGGCCCAGCCUCUGCCUCACAGCAGACUCUUCACACCCAGCUCUUCCCUGUCUGCGGCCUCUCCAGUCCAAAGCUGCUCCUGCCUUUUGGCAGCUUGUACAGGCCCAGCUCCUCCCUCACGGUGGCCUCUUUCGGCCCAACUCAUGCCUCUUGCAACGUGCCCAAGUGUCAGCUCCUGCCUCACACUGGCCUGUUGAGGCCCAGCUCAUGCCUCUCGUGGCCUCAACGGGCCCAUCCCCUGCCUGUCGGCGGCCUCUAC